UUACAGAACACAGGAACAUCCAAAGAACAGAUAUUUCAACGGUUUUGUCGGGUAAGAUCAUUUUCACUGAUAUCUAUAUGUAUGCAUACUUUUUGCCCGCAACUAACAGAAAAUUGCUGGAAAGUGUAUAUUGUACAAUCAGUCAGUACAAUGAAACAGAACAAAUAGAUACACUAAAUUCAUAGAAAAUGCAUAUAUUAAGUUUCUGUUUUUGUCGAAUAAUACACCCAUCGGUGUCAAUACUUAUCUUAUGAAAUAUUGACAUAAGAACCUUCCUGAUAUCAAAUUGUCUCUUUUUAAAGAAAUAACCUGAAUAAAUUAUUCAAAAACAUGUACUUUUAAUGAACAAUAUAGCGAAUGCCAUUGUAAACCAAGAGUUAAUAUGUCAAAUGAUCGAGUUCGUUCACUAUUGAGGCAUCAUCGAAUGACUUUUUUCACCGAACUUAUAAAUUCAUUUUUUUUAUGCGUAGUGUUUAGACUGCUUAUUGCCUAUGUUUGGGUAAUGUAUGUUUUUCCUGACUAUUUCUUGUUUUGAUAACGUCCUUUUUAUCUACCCAUUUUACCGACUUACCGAAGUAUUAAAGUUCAUAUGUUCAAAUCUUCAUGUUGCGAAGAAAGGUAAACAAUACAAUAGGGACACUCAAACACGUACAUAGAAAAUAUACUGACAAUGUGAGAACACAAAAAAUAGACAAACAAUAGUACUGAAACUCAACUAGAAAAACUGAAGACUGAGCAACACAAACCCCAUCAAAAACAUGGAGUGAUCCAAUAAUUUAUGCUACGGAUUGCAAACAUACCCUGUCCAACGUGUGCCUUCGUCGUGUUGUUUAUGUCUGCACAACUCGGGUGACAAGUAUACUUUGGUUAUUCACAUUUUGGAAACUGUGGUUACCAUAAUUGGGACAUAUCCGCUGUUAUAUGUGUUAUAUGUGAAACAUAAUUUCCGUAACGGUCAAUAAACUCGUGAUAGCGUUAGUAAGAUUUGUUGAUACCCGGUGUCAAUUUCACUACUUGGAAUUCUCUAUAAAAAAAUAUAUAGGAAAUACGAGAACUGGUUUAAAGAGCAAAAUUGGAGCUAUAUAUCCCGUAUGCAGACUGAACUGCAAUGUUGUUGCAUAGAAAUGAUGGAAAAUUCACAUUUUGGAAGAUGAAAUCAUUGUUUUGAGAUGUUUUUCGGAAUAUAAGGCCGAUUUAACUGUAGCCGUAUUUUAUUUAUUAUUUUAUAUCAAUAUUAAUAUUGUGUAAAUUUUUAGAUGCAGGACAUAGGGAAACGCAAGAAAGACAGAUUUCAACAGGUUUCUCGGGUAAGAUCCUUUGCAUUGAUAUAUAUAUAUUUGUAAAUACAAUUUUCCCAAAAACUAUAAGAAAAUAGCCGGAAAAUGUAUAUAGUACAACCAAUCAAGACACUGAAACAGAACAGAUAAACACACUUAGUUCAUAGAAAAUGCAUAUUUUAAGUUUUUAUUGUCGAAUAACAUGCUGAACAGUGUCAGAAUUGUUGACAUGAGAACACUCCUGAUAACCUAUUGUGUAUUAUACAACAUGGAAAAAGUAAACAAAAUAUUAAUUCUAAAUCGACAAUUUUUUUUUCUACAAAUGAAAUUGUUUGCCAUUUACGGGUUAGAUUGAAAUGUUGUUUCAACUUUGCGUUUAAACCAUAAUAAACAGCUAAAUUAGAAGGUAAAAUAAAACUCAAUAAUCUGAAUAUAAAUGCUAGUAAUAUUUUUCUAGUAACAUUAAGUAAAGUUUUAACACUUUAAAAUUUAUCAAUACAAUUUUUAUUCAAUGAAGAAUCAAAACAUCAAGUCCUCUCCAAUCCCGAUAUAAAGUCAAGUGGUUGUUCUGCCUAGAAUAAUGCGAAUAUUUGGUAAUUUUAUAAUGUUAAAUGAAAUAUGAAAGUAGGUCAUAGUACAAUUUGCAAUACUAUGUGAAUCAAUAAGAUUUGAUACUAUAUUUUUUUCAAUAAUCCUACACUAAUGUUAUACACUUUCACGUUAUUUGUGUCAAGUUAAACUAUGCGUUUCUGCUACAAGUAUUUCUGUCUAAUAGAUAGAUAAAAGAAUUGCUUCUGCCGUAAGCCUUUACAGAAUUUUAACGAUGGAAAAUUGUACAGAAAAAUAAAACACAAUUUGCAACAACACACUUGAUAACUAUCAAUCCAAUUGAAUAUCAAAACAAACUGUGCGUGCAAUUUAACCGUGUUAAAUAGUAAUAUUGCAUAGGUCAUAAUGUUAUGUUUAAACCGUCAUUUUACCUUAAUAAUCGUACCGUUCUGAAAGGCAAACACUCCGCUUAGACAUAUUUAUUAUAUAACUGUAUCAGAUACAAUAUUAGAUAGAUAUCAUAUAUCAUAUCAAACGCUACAUGUAUGAAUUUCAAGAAAGUAUCACGAUGACUGACUUUACAUGAUUUAUGAUAAGGGAGUUUUGACAGAGCGCAUACAAAAUUUUAUAAAUACACAAACGUUCUCAACGAUAUCUUCUUAAAACACGAACAUAAGCAGGGGAAAAACUCACUUUUGAAAUAUAUAAAAGACUAUAUUAUUUAUGCAUAAUUAAAAAAAAAAGUCGAAAGGAGCAAGGAUUAUACUUAAGAGUACUUAAAACAAUGAAUUUUUAAUAUGAUAUCGAUAUUUAAGAUAAAUAUUUAUAUUUUAUGUUAUCAAAAUUUGGAAUCCACAGAGAGCUUUUCAUAUUUUCAAUAUUGUUCUUUAUAGAUACAGAACAUGCGAAUCCCCAAAGAUUAUGUACUCUAGUAAUUGUCCCAGGUAAGAGUUUUUGCACGUCUAUUUCUAAUUGAACUCCAUAGGGCUGCUUAUUAGUGCCUACAACUUCUUAAUUUUACUUCGUAGAUAGUUGUCCCAUUGCAAUCAUACGUUUUGUACCUCAUCUCCAUUCUUAUAUGUUGAAUUUAACAUAUACUGAAAAUAUUGGUAGAGUGCAUAUCAGACAACAAAUCAAGAUAAUAAAGCAAAAACAAUACACACAAGUACUAAAAGGAUACGAUAAUGAAUCAAACACUCUGUCAAGCCAAUAUCAUGCAGCCCAUGUCAACUCCUUUGUAUCUACCCUUUUUACUUAAUUACCGAAGUAUUAAAGAUCAAAUUUUCAUAUUUUGAAAAGAGAGAUGAAAAAUACAACAGGGACAUUCAAACAAAUACGUCGGAAAUAAACAGACAACGCAAUGACACAGAACAUAGACAAACAACAUUAAUCAUGCUAAUGAAUCUCAACAAUAACAUUAACGACUGAGCAACAGAAAAAUUAACCGAUAACCAGGAAUGAUCUCAUGAGAAGUGCUACGGAUGGGUAUAUGCAGACCCUGUCUAACAAGUGUCACCUGUCGGGUUGCUUAUAUAAGCACAAAACCAGUGCUGUUAUCUGUGGAAAAUAAUUUCCAUAACAGUUAAUUAACUCGUGGUGGCGUAAGUAAGAUUUGUGAUGUCAAUUUCACUACUUGGAACUAUUGAUGGUAUAGCUUCUUGUGAACAUCAACCCUCUACCAAGAAAUUCAAGAUAGGAAAUAAAAGAACUUAUAUAUGUAUAGGGUCAAAUGGAAGCGAUAUAUCCCGUAUGUAAGCUGUUCUGCAUUGUUGCUGCAUAGAAAAGGAAAAUUCACAAUUGGGAAGAUGAAAACAUCUCUUCUGUCGAAAAAAUUUAUUUUCAAACGACCCUCAUUGUAUAUUUUUAGAUGUUAUUCGGGUUAUAAGGCCGAUUUAACUAUAGCCGUAUAUUAUUUAUAAUUCAAUAUUAUUAUUUAUAUUGUGUCAUUAUUAAAUACAGAACACAGGAACACGCAAAGAACAGAGAAUUCACCAGUUGUUUCGGGUAAGAACCUUUGCAAUGAUAUCUAUAUUUUUAAAUACAAUUUGAUCGGAACCACAAGAAAACAGCGUAAAAUAGUAUACUAUACAUUCAAUCAAGACUAUGAAGUAGAACAGAUAAAUAGACUUAGAUCAUAGAAAAUGCAUAUUUAAAGUUGUUUUAAUUGUCGAAUAACACACCGAGCGGUGUCAGGAUCGAUCUUAUGAAAUAUUGACAUGAAAGUACUUCUGAUAUCCAAAUGCCUGCAUUUAACGGAAUACAACCUGAAUCACUUAUUCAAAAACAUGUACUUUUCAUGAACAAUACAGUUCAUGGAUGUUGUAAGCUUCCCACUAACACCAUACACCAUUACACCAUUCACCGUACAUCAUUACACCAUACACGUUACACCUUUGUACCAUACACCUUACAUAUUCUAUGUUACCAUCCAUAAUUACCCAUAAUGCAAUUUAAUUAAUUUAAGAAAGCGUGCGACUACAAAAUUAUUUAUUCAUUUUAAAAAAAGAAUAUGGAUCACAAUAUUGUAAAUUAAUGUAUAAAAUUAAAAUUCAAUUCUUAUCAAUAUUUUGCAUAGUUUUAAACUUUGAUUAUCACACUUAAUUUACACUUUACACAAUCACACCAUUCCUAAUACACCAUACACCAUAGCUUUAUACACCUUCUACCAUUGCACCAUACACCAUUAUACCAUACACGUCUUUUUGGGGGGAAGGUUACACCAUCCUAGGGCUGUAUCGCGAAUGACAUUGUAUAAUAAGAUUUAAUCCGUCAAAUGAGUUCGUUCAACAUUGUGUCAUCAUCGAAUGAGGGUUUUCACAAAAAAAAACACUUAUUAGUGGAUUUGUAUUUUACGUGUAGUGUUUUUAAGCUGCUUUUUGAUUUCCAAUAUUUUUAUUUCAUUAUAAUUCCUGGCUUUUCGUGGUUUUGAUUACGUCCUUUUUAUCUACACCUUUUACUGAAUUACCUGAUUAUUAUUGUAUGAACUUUCACGUUAUUUGUGUGAAGUUAAACUGUGCGUUUAUGCUACAAGUAUAUCUAUAUAAUAAAUAGACAAAAGAAGUGUUUCUGCCGUAAGCCUUUAAAGAAUUUUAACGACGGCAAAUUGUAUAGAAAAAAAACAAUUUUGCAACUAUACACACAAUUACUAUCAAACAAAUUGAAUAUCAAAACAAAUUGUACCUUUAGUUUAACCAUGUUAAGGCGAAGUGUACGUAAUUGCACGCCUCUAGCGGAAUACGGGAUUAAAAACGUUCGUCGUUAGUUACGCAAGUUAUCUCCCUUACUCCAAGAAAGGACACACGAAAAAGAAACUACUUUAUGCGGUCUAUAAUGAAUCCAACAAGCACGCCUGUGCUGUCUUAAACCUCAUAGAAAUUAUCUAAAUAACUCCAACUAGAAAUCACAGCAUUCUGUACGUUGUUCUGUGUUCAGUCUGACUUAAAAACACUGUUUUUUUUUGUUUUUUUUGGUUUUAGACGCGUAGGAGAAGGCAUUUCGUGUUUAUGAUAUCAUCAGAAAGAAAAAACGCCUCACAACAAAAUUAUAAACAAAUAAACAUGUAACAUUUUUUCUUCUAUUGAUAUCAAAUUAAUUAAAAUAAAACCUGAAUUGACCCAACAAUAUCGAUUUAAAAAGCCGUCGUCUUGAACGAAAAACACAGUAUUCAACGUAAAGUUUUAAAAUAGGUUACAAAUAAUUAAUGAAAGACGUGUGAAUUUAAUUGUUUAAUUAAAAAGACGUUGAAAUGUUCGUAUUUUGUGCAAUUGAAAAUUUAAGGACAUGAUUUAUGUUCAUAUAAGAUAUCAGACGAUACCAAGAGAAUAAUUUGACCACAAGUGCAACACUUACAAGUAGGAAGAACAAAGACGGAAAACAAACAAAAAAAUAAACAAAUUAUGCCCCAAAAAUUACUCAGUAACUUAAAAAUUGUCUCACUCUAACAUUUAUCUUAAAAUAAGUAAAAAUUAUUUCAUUCAACUCCCAGUUUUCAACUUUUUCUACAUGUGCAGAAAAUAAACAGGGUGUCUUCUAUUCCGUCCGCAAUUUAUGGGAAAACUAAAUCUAAAUUUAGAACUAUAUUGAAAUUGAAAGUACACAUGUAAGAUAAAAUAUAACAUGUCAUUUCUUCUUUCACAAAUUCCAAUUUCGAAGAGAUAUAUAGCGAUAUCUGUUUUCUUUUAUUGUGCCUGUGUGCAGCAUACAAAAUUAGAGAAUGUAAUUUAGGAGAUAACUGUAUUGUAUUUUAAGCUCCGACUGCAUUAAUUGGGGAUUUGAUGGUCGCAAAUUAAGUUUACUGGCGAUGCGUUAGCGGAGACAGUAAACGGGUAUUUGCGACCAUCAAAUCCCCAAAUGAUGCCGUCGGAGCUUAAAAUACAAUAUUGUUAUCUCCAUUCUAAUGAAACUGACAGAAAAUAACGUUAAAACAUUAUUUAAAAUCUGUCAUAUGCCGUCUGCGCUUGCGCGUACAUCCCAUAGCAUCAAUUGCCAAUUGAUGCCAUGUAAGAAAGUGACGUUAUCCAAUCAAAAUGAACGUUACAAAUGUUGUUGCAUUAGAAUUUGAAGUAUCAAGUCUCAAUUCAAGAUUAUGAAUGAAUAGAAUAUAGAAUUACGGGGGAGGGGGGAGGGGGAGGUAGGACCUUUAUCGGAACUCCGGGAUCGAGUGUUUUUUAGCUCGGGAUUUCGGAAUUGACCCUUUCGGGAUUUUUUUUUUUUUUAAAUUCGGGACCUCGGGAUUUCGUGUUUUUAAGCCCGGGAUUUCGGGAUCUGGAUCCCUCCUUCCCUCCUCCCUCUAUUAUGGUUAAAGAAAAGAGGUCAGGGAAGUUUUGUGAUACUUGUAACUGCAAUUUAAUAUUUAGUGAAAUGAGAGGUGAAAUGUGUUCAGACUAUUACAUUUAGAUUUUUUUAAAAUUUAACCCAAGUUUACUGCAAGGGGUGUUUAACGACCUCGAUGAUUAUCCAUGAGGAUCUCGCACUCGGUUAGCUCUAGGUUUUCACCUAGUUCAUGAUCAUACAAGAAUUGAGAAGACUGUGGUUUACUAGUCUUAUAAUAUGAGACUUUGGAGUUCAUAUAAUUUACAUUCAACGUUUUUAUCGAAUAUUUCAAGGCUUUUUGACUAUCAAUGUUGACCCCCCCCCUUUUCCAAUUGAUUGGAUAAAAUGAAUGGAUUGCCGCCCCUAUUUCAAACUGAGGUCCUAUAAACUGACUGGUAUUCGAAUUUGUUAAAGAAAUAAUUGGUAUCUCUGACUCAUAUUGAUUCAAUACCGUAAUGCGAAAAACAAUCAUUUGUUUCCGCGAAUUCCGAACAGUUAGAAAUAUAUUCCCGAGUUUCAAUUUGAGUAACUCGAAUAGUUCAAUCCCUUUCCGUGUCCGAUUUUCUCCCACACGUGAAAUGUAGCAUUCGUACAUCAGCUGAAUAAUACGAAUGAAUUAUUCGGGUUACAAUUUGUGUAAAUCCCGAAUGCACAUAAAAGUAAAGGUCCAGCCCGACUUUCGGAAAAGGACUGUUGUAGAUUUCAGAUUGAUUUCCAGAAAUAAAAUUCAUACAAAAAUGUUUCACGCAAAUAUUCGUCUUCAGACGUGUAAAGUUAUACAACGAUUACUAGCCGGUCUGGUUUGUGAUAAAAAGAAGAUCAUGCAAUGCAUAAAAUGUAUAAUGUCGUGGCUCAGGGAUGUGUUGAAUUAUAGAGAUGAUUAUGCGGCACAAAGAUAAAAUUAAUUUACCCAAAUGUACUAAGAAUUACCCACACUUAAAUUACUUAAAAUAUUGAUUUGUUAUCCUGUGCCAGACAGAUUGGCUGAUAUUCUGAAAAGAGACCUUGAUGAAAUGAAGUUUUAUGGGAACAAAGAUUUUGAAAACACGUCGCAGUGUUUAGAUUUUAACAAAAAUAAGGCACCAAGGUCGAAAAUAGUUCUAGUUCAUAAUGAAGAAAAUGUCAACCGUUUUCUAGCUUGGCGAUCUCCGCAUGCACCCGAAUAAAAUAGACAAAUACAAUACAAUAGUACACAAAACGUAACAUAAAGAACUAAAGACCAAGCAACAUGAACUCCAACAAAACGGUAUAUAUUUCAUACAAGUAUAGAACUAUAUGAGGCGUCGUAACUGUUGCAGCGACGUCAAUAACGUUGCCAUUGUUUUUUGUUUUUUUUACACGCAAAAUUCAACUUUAACAGGGUAUAGCUUGAAAAGUAGCACGGUUGCUAAGGACUUUCUUUGCACCAAUCGAUUCCUCAGACAUUUUAGAAUCGUCUCAUAAAUUUAAAAAAAAAUCGAUUGUCUAAUAUAAUAGAAAAUCUUGGAAAUGUAACAAUUCCUGCCGAAUUUCACGAUUUUCCCUAUAUAUCCUUUGUAAUUUUGGUGUAUGAUGCUGUAAACUUCAACAGCUCGUAUCUAAAAAAAAAACGAAAACGGUUACCCCCUUUUUUUAUUUUAUUUUCCGAUUUAUUUUUACGAGUAGAAUCUACAUGUAAAAUUUCAAAAAAAUCCAUUGUGUAGUUUAAUUACGUACACUUCGCCUAACUAUCCCUACCGUUCGUAUAGACCAUUUGUAGACAAAACACUUCGUUUAUGCAAAUACAAAUUAUGUAAGUGUAUCAAAUACAAUACUAGACCAAAAUCAUAUAUCAUGUAUCAAAUGCUACAUGUAUGUACUUUACACGUUUUAAUGAUUAGUGAAAAUACGCAGAAAAAAUGUUCUUAAUGCACAAUCUUUCUCAAUGAUAUCUUCUUUAAACACGACAUAAUCAGGGGAAAAGACACUUAUAUGUAACAGACUUUAAUAUUUAUGCAUUAUGCAAAGCAAAAACGGCAAAAGAUGCAAGGAUUAUACGUAAGAAUACUUUAACAAUGAAAUUAGGACGUCAAUGUCACUUAGAUAGAUAACAACACGAACAAUAAUUAAUCUCUGGUGAAAUUUUAAAAAUGACAUCGACAUUUAAGUUAAAUAUUUAUAUAUUUUUUUUCGAAAUUAGUAUCCCAUUGAAAGUUUUUCAUAUUUUCAAUAUUGUUCCUUACAGAUUCACAACAUGCGAAUCCCAAACGAACCCUUCUCCCAG
rnacentral:lncRNA from 1 species